rnacentral:rRNA from 1 species
GACGAACGCUGGCGGCGUGCUUAACACAUGCAAGUCGAACGGAAAGGCCCCUUUGGGGGUACUCGAGUGGCGAACGGGUGAGUAACACGUGAGUAACCUGCCCUUGACUUCGUGAUAACUUCAGGAAACUGGGGCUAAUACCGGAUAGGAAUCCUUGCUGCAUGGUGGGGGUUGGAAAGCUUCGGCGGUUUUGGAUGGACUCGCGGCUUAUCAGCUCGUUGGUGGGGUAGUGGCUUACCAAGGCUUUGACGGGUAGCCGGCCUGAGAGGGCGACCGGCCACAUUGGGACUGAGAUACGGCCCAGACGCCUACGGGAGGCAGCAGUGGGGAAUAUUGCACAAUGGGCGGAAGCCUGAUGCAGCAACGCCGCGUGCGGGAUGACGGCCUUCGGGUUGUAAAACGCUUUCAGCAGGGGCGAAGCUUGUGGUGACGGUACCUGCAGAAGAAGCACCGGCUAACUACGUG